UGUGUGUGUGUGUGUGUGUGGUUGAGUCAGAAUAAACUACGGUGUGUUCAUGUUAAUGAAGGAACAACAAGAGGCUCAUUAAUGUGUUCUAUCGGAGCUUAAAGUUAUCAGGCCGUGAUGCUCAGAUGAACGUGUUAGUGGGUGUUUUUCGUUGGAUUAGUCGUUGAGUGUGUUCUAUUACUAAAGAUGUGUAUCAGUGCAUCACACUUGUGUUGUGUUGUCUCCUAUAGUUUGAUCUCAACCCUGUCCUCUUACUUGAAACAUCACAUAGGUUGCCAUCAGCCCAGAUUCCUCCUCAUGUAACGCUUUUAUUAUUAUACCAAUAUUAUACCUGUGAAUUAUUCUCAGCAGUACCAGCUUUAUUUUAGUUUAUUUUCUUCUGUAGAUGAGCUUUAACUGAAUAGACUUUCUGUUUUUUUCCCAUUCACGAAACAAAAAUGAAAUAUUAUUAAGAACUAUGUGAUAUUGUGAUGAUUCGUUUACAACUAUUUUGUUGCAUUCAUGCUUUGAUAAUUUUUUAUAACAAGGACACUUCUUUGGUCACUUUAAUGUCAUUUCGAGAAGCGACCAGACAGUUAAUCGGAUAAACUAAAGUCAAAUGAUUUCUCUAUAACUUCUCUAUUCUGUUAAGUGGAUGUGAUGAUGUCAUGAUGAGGUUUGAUGGGACAUUGUGUCACAGUUAAGCCAUGAACGAUGACCCUGUGAAGGUGAUGAAUCAGCGGAUUAAGACUGAUGGAAAAAAAACAGAGACUUUGUUUACAUGGAACAAAUGUUCUGGUUUAUUUAUCCUCAUUUUGAAAAAGACAAUGUUCCUAAUAAGCUGUUCGUAAACAGGAAAGAGUUUGUGUGUCACAAACUGUGGUAAAAAAUCAGUAGGGUUCAUGCUCUGGGGAACAUGAAUGUAAAUGCAAAGUUUAAUGGCAAUCCAUCAAAUAUUUGUUGAGAUAUUUCAGACUUGACCAAAUGAAUGGAUCCAAUGCAUAAUAAAUAAGAUAAAUAGGAUGCAUUGUUAUACAGUAAUAUAUAUAUACAGUUGCAGUUAAUACUUGUAAUUUUUGAGUAAGUACAUUUUUAAAACUACUGCGAUACAAAGACCGAAAAACCAAACCUGAGCUCACCGACUACAUCUGAUCUACAAGUACAGGGCGGAUGAAUAAACUGUAGUUCGCCAAGAAAUAGUUCCAGCACAUUAUUCUCCCUAAUUGUACAUUUAUGUCUAAAAAAAACACGUUUUCAAACAAGAUAAAUCAUGUUAACUGGUGAGAUUAUGAGGACAGAGCCGGGCUGGCUGUUUCUCCCUGUUUACAGUCUCUAAUGCUAAGCUAGGCUAACCGCAUCCUGACUUUCUGAAUACAUGCAGCGAGGACAGAGUGGACUGGAGUGUGUGUGUGUGUGUGUGUGAGUGUGUGUGUGUGUGAAUAACAGCUUUAUGCUCCGGUGAUGGUGCGUGUGGAUUAACCAGGAUCAGAUAUGCCUCGUUAAUCCCUACCUCUGACCCCACCAGCAGGAAGUGAAGAUCUCCAAUCAGAGUGUAGGAUGCUGUCAGGUGCUCGGUUUAACACGCCACCCUUCACUAACCCUCAGAACCGACCGUACUAUAAGCAUCCUAACAGCAAGCAGAGCACUGAGAAUACACACUUGCUCAUAUUCAGGUCAAAUAACUGAGAAUAAUAAUUAAUAAAGAAUAUAAUGAAAUAGAAAUAAAGAUGAGUUAAUGUUGUGUGGAAGUGUGAAUCAUUGUAAUGCUGUCUGUUUCCUGUCACCUGUUAAUCACUUGAUCUGAAGAAAACUGAUGCUUUGUUGGAACUUUUGUUGUACUGCGUUCAGGUAGUGUAGGAAAGAGGAAGCUAUUUAAAUGCACCUGUAAAUAUAUGAAUAUUUAUUUUACAGUUAUAAUUGUUAGGUUCAAAUUCAUGUCGUUUUAAAGGGCCUUUAAACAGAAGGGUGACCCCAGCACUGACAUUAGACAUUGUUAUUACUUAAAAUCUCACAAAACAAAUUCAUGUUUUAUGAUGCUGUUAGAGAUUUGUUUAUGUCAAACUGUUUUACUACAUUAUAUUCUGAAUCAUAUUUAUAUUAGAUCUCCAUAUUAAUACAGACAAACACUAAGGAGCAUUGCUUAUUCUUGUUAAGUACUAAUAAUCAUAUUAUAUAAACACCUUUAACAUAUACUCGACUUGCUGACUCUGUUCACACCGCUUUCACUUUUGUCUCUUAAUUUUUUCGUUUCGUUUUGACUUUAAUUGAUCUUGUAUAUCUUCUAUUUUUACUUCUAUUAUAAGUUGGUUUUACACACCUCUUAUAUUUAAUUAUUUUUACUACAUCUGUACAUAUUUCUGUCCUUGUUCUGCUGCAACCACUAAAUUGACCUCAUUAAAAGCUCAUUUGAUCCUUGUUUUUUUCUGUCAGCGAACACAGCACAAGCUCAUUUAUUAAUAUAUGAAUAUGCCUGUCAUUUAUUUAUUCAUAGCUGAAGAAUAAAGCAGGUUGGAGCUGCUCAUUCUGAUUAUUUUUUUUAGCAAUAACACGUUAAUUAACUAACCACCACUGCAGAAGCACAAAUUCGCCAUAUUAUAUAUCAAUAUAUGUCAACUUUCCGACAGCACUUGAAGGCAUCACCUCCGGUAAUUCAUCUCGACGUCUGGACUCGUGAAGAUUAUUGUCGACACCCCUCUGUCACAGAUGUCACUCCUCUGAUUGGACAAGGAUCCUGAUCCCGCCUACUAGCUGUUUGAUUGACAGGGCCGCCGACUCGUCGCAGCGGGUGAACGGGGCAGUCAUCUAACUUGUGAUUGGUGGAUCGGUCAGGAUUUAUAUGAAUGGCAAUUUGUAUUGUUCGACGUCUUCGCAACACAGUUGCAACUUUGCGGUUUCCAACUCCGAGAAAGUCCGUUUAAUAUUUAUAUGUAUUAAUAUUUACCCGACCCACGCGGUGUCGGCCAUGAAGAGGAUUUAGAAACAUAACAAGUUGUUUUUAACAUUGCGUCGACUGUUGAGCGUAAGUUUUCUUCUGCUUGUGUUGUUUAAACUCUAUUGUUAAUAGUCUGAGCUCAUCUGUAUCUUAUAUGCUGUGUUUAUAAAAGCAGGUGUUCGUUAUGAUAGGAGUAUGAAUGACCCGUUAUAUCUUUUAGCUGACGUUUACUUUUGGUUCCCGUUUUCCUUUCUUUAGUUCAGCUUGCUUUGAGACUCUUUGUGUCCUCUGUGUCUAAUCUAUUUCAGGAGCAGUUUGUGGUUCCGUUUCAUCGGAUUUGACGAACAUUAAAUAUCUUUUGAAUCGGUAGAAUCUAUUGUUCAGUUCGGCUUACAUGUAAAAAACAACAACAACAUUAUUGUAUAUCAGUAAACUUUGAAUUUAUUAUCUUGAUUUUCCUAACUUGAUGUUUUUUUUCUCAACUAAGACGAGCACAGCCAAAGAAGCUGAGCUUUGAUCUGAAGGAUAGUGAUGCCGAACUAACAGCUGUGUUGGUGUGACCGGCUGGAGAUGGAGAUGGGGGAUCCAGAGCCUCCAGGGUUUGGGUCCCUGGAGGAAGAGCUGCAGUACUGGAAGGACCAGGCUGCCCGACAACAACAGAGUGCGGAGGAGGCGCAGGAGGAGCUGCAGGAGUUUCAGCAGAUGAGUCGGGACUACGAGGUGGAGCUGGAGGCGGAGCUUAAACAGUGUGAGGCGCGAAACCGCGAGCUUCUGUCCGCCAACCACCGCCUCCGCAUGGAACUGGAGAACCACAAGGUACAAUAGGACGUCAUCGGUUAGAAACCAAGACACUCCCACUGGAGGUGGUGGAGAUAUACGAGUCUUGUAGUGUGUAGUGUGUAGUCCUUGUCUACGUUUACACGCUCACUAAUAUUCCAUGUUUACUCCGAAUAUGAUACCCGUCACGUAAACAGCAUCAUUAGGUCUUCUUUCAAAUGGAGCAUUUUUUCCGGUAAAGACAUGUGGGAUCUGCUGAUGUUAUUCAAGUUGUAGGAACAUUCUUUGAACAUACAGCACAUUUAGAACAUGCGUUGUACACAAUUAUAUACAGUUAUACACAAACCAGCUGCCAACAGUUUGCAGAGAUGCACAACAGAGAAGCUCACAUUUCUGGUCGGAAGGAGAAACAAACUAAUACCUUUCUAGUAGAGACCUGUCAAU